rnacentral:rRNA from 1 species
UACAGAGGGGGCAAGCGUUGCUCGGAAUCACUGGGCGUAAAGGGCGCGUAGGCGGGAUGGCAAGUCGGUCGUGAAAUCCUUCGGCUCAACCGAAGAACGUCGGCCGAUACUGCCGUUCUUGAGGGAUGCAGAGGAGAUUGGAAUUCCCGGUGUAGCGGUGAAAUGUGUAGAGAUCGGGAGGAACACCGGUGGCGAAGGCGGGUCUCUGGGGCAUCUCCUGACGCUGAGGCGCGAAAGCGUGGGGAGCAAACGGG